UGGGGAAUAUUGCACAAUGGGCGCAAGCCUGAUGCAGCCAUGCCGCGUGUGUGAAGAAGGCCUUCGGGUUGUAAAGCACUUUCAGCGGGGAGGAAGGCGGUGAGGUUAAUAACCUCAUCGAUUGACGUUACCCGCAGAAGAAGCACCGGCUAACUCCGUGCCAGCAGCCGCGGUAAUACGGAGGGUGCAAGCGUUAAUCGGAAUUACUGGGCGUAAAGCGCACGCAGGCGGUCUGUCAAGUCGGAUGUGAAAUCCCCGGGCUCAACCUGGGAACUGCAUUCGAAACUGGCAGGCUAGAGUCUUGGAGAGGGGGGUAGAAUUCCAGGUGUAGCGGUGAAAUGCGUAGAGAUCUGGAGGAAUACCGGUGGCGAAGGCGGCCCCCUGGACAAAGACUGACGCUCAGGUGCGAAAGCGUGGGGAGCAAACAGG
rnacentral:rRNA from 1 species